CGGCAACAGCUCAAAUUUGAAAUCUGGCUCUCGGGCCCGAGUUGUAAUUUGUAGAGGAUACUUUUGAUGCGGUGCCUUCCGAGUUCCCUGGAACGGGACGCCAUAGAGGGUGAGAGCCCCGUACAGUUGGACACUAAGCCCAUGUGAAGCUCCUUCGAC
rnacentral:rRNA from 1 species